rnacentral:rRNA from 1 species
GACGAACGCUGGCGGCGUGCUUAACACAUGCAAGUCGAACGAUGAACCUUCCAUGAUCUAUUCGUAGAGAUUGGGAGCGGAUUAGUGGCGAACGGGUGAGUAACGCGUGAGCAACCUGCCUUAAACAACGGGAUAGCCUCGGGAAACCGGGAUUAAUACCGUAUGAGACCCCGCCUUCACAUGAAGAAGAGGUUAAAGAUUUAUCGGUUUAAGAUGGGCUCGCGUCUGAUUAGCUAGUUGGUGAGAUAAAAGCCCACCAAGGCAACGAUCAGUAACCGGCUUGAGAGAGUGAACGGUCACAUUGGAUCGGAGACACGGUCCAACCUCCGACGGGAGGCAGGAUUGGGAAAUAGUUCACAAUGCGGGAAACCUUGGUGCAGCGACGCCGCGUGAGCGAUGAAGGAAUUCGUUUCGUAAAGCUCUGUCCUAGGGGAAGAUAAUGACAGUACCCUUGGAGGAAGCCCCGGCUAAAUACGUGCCAGCCGCCGCCGUAA